rnacentral:rRNA from 1 species
GAUGAACGCUGGCGGCGUGCCUAAUACAUGCAAGUCGAGCGAACAGACGAGGAGCUUGCUCCUCUGACGUUACCGGCGGACGGGUGAGUAACACGUGGAUAACCUACCUAUAAGACUGGGAUAACGGCGGGAAACCGGAGCUAAUACCGGAUAAUAUAUUUAACCGCAUGGUUCAAUAGUGAAAGACGGGUUUGCUGUCACUUAUAGAUGGAUCCGCGCCGCAUUAGCUAGUUGGUAAGGUAACGGCUUACCAAGGCAACGAUGCGUAGCCGACCUGUGAGGGUGAUCCGCCACACUGGAACUGAGCCGCGGUCCAGACUCCUACGGGAGGCACAAGUAGGGAAGCUUCCGCGAUGGGCGGAAGCCUGACGGAGCGACGCCGCGUGGGUGCUGCAGGUCUUCGGAUCGUAUAACUCUGUUAUUAUGGAAGAACAAAUGUGUAAGUAACUAUGCACUUCUUGACGGUACCUAAUCAGAAAGCCCCGGCUAACUACGUG